AGAGCGAACGCUGGCGGCAGGCCUAACACAUGCAAGUCGAGCGCCCGUAGCAAUACGGGAGCGGCAGACGGGAGAGUAACACGUGGGAACGCGCCCUUCGGUUCGGAAUAACUCAGGGAAACUUGAGCUAAUACCGGAUACGCCCUUACGGGGAAAGAUUUAUUGCCGAAGGAACGGCCCGCGUCCGAUUAGCUAGUUGGUGAGGUAAUGGCUCACCAAGGCGACGAUCGGUAGCUGGUCUGAGAGGAUGACCAGCCUCACUGGGACUGAGACACGGCCCAGACUCCUACGGGAGGCAGCAGUGGGGAAUAUUGGACAAUGGGCGCAAGCCUGAUCCAGCCAUGCCGCGUGAGUGAUGAAGGCCUUAGGGUUGUAAAGCUCUUUUAGCAGGGAAGAUAAUGACGGUACCUGCAGAAAAAGCCCGGCUAACUUCGCGCCAGCAGCCGC
rnacentral:rRNA from 1 species